GCGGUCGCCGCACAGCAUCUGAAACCAGAAAACCUCACAGCAAACAUCUCAAUCUUGUAAAACAGCCCAAGUGUCCAUUUGAUGCGUUGUGUGUAAUUGCAUACUUAGAUUUACAAAACCUGCCAGACUGUUCCUAUAGGAGCAAAGACUGCCCGCAGGUACUGUCCUGCCAACACAGCGGGGUGUCACCCCAGGACCUUGCCUCCGACAGUGCUUCAUCUUCAAGAAGAUUCAUAGGAAGGAUGUUUUAACAAGUACAGAUCUCUGGUAAACUUCAGAUCACACUGCUGACCUAGGACUAAGCAAACUAUAACGAAGGCCUAGCAAUCAGGGGAUGUGGCAGAACCUGGGGCAGUGGAGCCAAAGGUGGAGGACGCGGCCUUUGAGGACAUGCGUGAACCGGCCAGAACCAGCGAGGUCCCGGGCGGCAGAAGA